AGCUUUUCGAAAAGGUAUCACAUGCCAAGUUUGGCCUGACGGUAUAAAAGUUAUAGAGUCAUAAAGUUUUAACCAAUAAAAAAAAUUAAAAAAAAAG
rnacentral:sRNA from 1 species